rnacentral:rRNA from 1 species
GACGAACGCUGGCGGCGUGCUUAACACAUGCAAGUCGAACGGAAAGGCCCUGCUUUUGUGGGGUGCUCGAGUGGCGAACGGGUGAGUAACACGUGAGUAACCUGCCCUUGACUUUGGGAUAACUUUAGGAAACUGGGGCUAAUACCGGAUAGGAUCUCCUGCUGCAUGGUGGGGGUUGGAAAGUUUCGGCGGUUGGGGAUGGACUCGCGGCUUAUCAGCUUGUUGGUGGGGUAGUGGCUUACCAAGGCUUUGACGGGUAGCCGGCCUGAGAGGGUGACCGGCCACAUUGGGACUGAGAUACGGCCCAGACUCCAACGGGAGGCAGCAGUGGGGAAUAUUGCACAAUGGGCCGAAGCCUGAUGCAGCAACGCCGCGUGCGGGAUGACGGCCUUCGGGUUGUAAACCGCUUUCGCCUGUGACGAAGCGUGAGUGACGGUAAUGGGUCAAGAAGCACCGGCUAACUACGUG